AUUGAACGCUGGCGGCAGGCUUAACACAUGCAAGUCGAACGGUAGCAGGAGGAAGCUUGCUUUCUUGCUGACGAGUGGCGGACGGGUGAGUAAUGCUUGGGAAUCUGGCUUAUGGAGGGGGAUAACUACGGGAAACUGUAGCUAAUACCGCGUAGUGUCGAGAGACGAAAGUGCGGGACCGCAAGGCCGCAUGCCAUGAGAUGAGCCCAAGUGGGAUUAGGUAGUUGGUGGGGUAAAGGCCUACCAAGCCUGCGAUCUCUAGCUGGUCUGAGAGGAUGGCCAGCCACACUGGAACUGAGACACGGUCCAGACUCCUACGGGAGGCAGCAGUGGGGAAUAUUGCGCAAUGGGGGGAACCCUGACGCAGCCAUGCCGCGUGAAUGAAGAAGGCCUUCGGGUUGUAAAGUUCUUUCGGUAUUGAGGAAGGAGUGUAUGUUAAUAGCAUACAUUAUUGACGUUAAAUACAGAAGAAGCACCGGCUAACUCCGUGCCAGCAGCCGCGGUAAUACGGAGGGUGCGAGCGUUAAUCGGAAUAACUGGGCGUAAAGGGCACGCAGGCGGUUAUUUAAGUGAGGUGUGAAAGCCCCGGGCUUAACCUGGGAAUUGCAUUUCAGACUGGGUAACUAGAGUACUUUAGGGAGGGGUAGAAUUCCACGUGUAGCGGUGAAAUGCGUAGAGAUGUGGAGGAAUACCGAAGGCGAAGGCAGCCCCUUGGGAAUGUACUGACGCUCAUGUGCGAAAGCGUGGGGAGCAAACAGGAUUAGAUACCCUGGUAGUCCACGCUGUAAACGCUGUCGAUUUGGGGAUUGGGCUUAAAGCUUGGUGCCCGUAGCUAACGUGAUAAAUCGACCGCCUGGGGAGUACGGCCGCAAGGUUAAAACUCAAAUGAAUUGACGGGGGCCCGCACAAGCGGUGGAGCACGUGGUUUAAUUCGAUGCAACGCGAAGAACCUUACCUACUCUUGACAUCCAGAGAACUUUCCAGAGAUGGAUUGGUGCCUUCGGGAACUCUGAGACAGGUGCUGCAUGGCUGUCGUCAGCUCGUGUUGUGAAAUGUUGGGUUAAGUCCCGCAACGAGCGCAACCCUUAUCCUUUGUUGCCAGCGAUUUGGUCGGGAACUCAAAGGGAGACUGCCUGUUGAAAACCUGGAGGAACGGGGGGAUGACGUCAAGUCUUCAUGGCCCUUACGAGUAGGGGCUACACACUUGCUACAAUUGGCGUAUCCAGAAGGUGGCAAAACUGCCACGUGGAGCGAAUCCCCGAAAUACCUUCAAUUUCAGGAUUGAGUCCGCCCCCCGACCCCCUGAAGUCUGAAACGCCUAUUAUCCGCCAAAUCAAAAGUCUCCGGUGAAUACUUCUCCGGGCCC
rnacentral:rRNA from 1 species